rnacentral:rRNA from 1 species
AGUGAACGCUGGCGGUAGGCCUAACACAUGCAAGUCGAACGGCAGCACAGAGGAGCUUGCUCCUUGGGUGGCGAGUGGCGGACGGGUGAGGAAUACAUCGGAAUCUACUCUGUCGUGGGGGAUAACGUAGGGAAACUUACGCUAAUACCGCAUACGACCUACGGGUGAAAGCAGGGGACCUUCGGGCCUUGCGCGAUUGAAUGAGCCGAUGUCGGAUUAGCUAGUUGGCGGGGUAAAGGCCCACCAAGGCGACGAUCCGUAGCUGGUCGGAGAGGAUGAUCAGCCACACUGGAACUGAGACACGGUCCAGACUCCUACGGGAGGCAGCAGUGGGGAAUAUUGGACAAUGGGCGCAAGCCUGAUCCAGCCAUACCGCGUGGGUGAAGAAGGCCUUCGGGUUGUAAAGCCCUUUUGUUGGGAAAGGAAUCCAGCUGGCUAAUACCCGGUUGGGAUGACGGUACCCAAAGAAUAAGCACCGGCUAACUUCGUGCCAGCAGCCGCCGUAA